CGUUCAACUUGCUGUUUCUCCCCCUCACCAUCACUGCGUCCGUAAUCUACCUCUCCUGCUAAAGGGUGCUUUGGCCUCACUUGGCAACGAGGCAACACGUCAUUCAAACAUCAGCUCAACACCGGGGAGCCCAUGAUGGGUGCACAGCUCAGCAACUGGUUUUCCACAGUUAUUACCUUGUUCCUCUCGUUUCCUGAAGACCAAAUCAUCAUUGGCGAAUGUCACCCUUGAUUUCACUUUGCCGGUGUGAGGUGAUCACGUUGAACUGAAAUGAAUUUGAUCGUCCCUUCUCUCACUCUCUGUCUCUGUUUCUCUCUGUCUGUCUCUCUUUCCUUCUUUAUCUCUUUGCUGCUGAACUGAGCUGCCCUGAUAGUUACCGUGUGUGAAAGGAAGAAUGAUUUGAAGAGCCUUCUGUCGACUCUCUGCCCGUGUAUCUUUUUUUUCCGGUGUAAAUAAUUAGACUAAUUAACCAGCGAUUUUCUGUUGAAAUGAGACCUGGUGAGACCUGGUGAGAACUUUAAUUCUCCGGGAAGCCGCUCAUUCGAUAAUAAUAAUAAUGGACAUUCAGAGAAAACCUGUUGAAGGUCAGUGGGACUGUUGAAAGAACCAGACCGUCAAACUUCAGUGCAAGGAGACGCUCCUGGCCGAUACCAAGAUUGGAUUUUACCAACACACAGACACUCACACAUACAUACAGAUUCACACACACUUACUGGUAGAACAUGUUCAAUUCAUUGAUAAGUUCAAAUUUUUAAAUAUUUUUAGUACUUUUAGGGAGGUAAUGUAUCACAUAUUUAUUGGAUAUAAAUAUUUAGAGCUACCUCUUUAUCAUCUGGUUUUUAAAAUUGAAAAACAAAAUGAUAUGGUAUUGUUCAAAAGUCUUAGGCACUGUAUGUAGCUGUGUUGCCUAAAACCUUUGCACAGAACUGUAGUAAUUUUUGUAUUGCAGUACAAAAAUUUCAUGACAUAUCUAGGGUAAGGGAGUGAGAAGCACCAGAGAGACAUUUCGUAACGACCAAUUGUUUGGAAGCAAAUGACCCUGAUCGUGUCCCAGGGCUGGGCAUGUCUGCACCUGCAGCACCGUUUCUGCUCCAUUUUGACAACACAGUACUGUGCAAAAGCCUCAGGCACCCUAGGCAUGAGUGUGUGUGUGUGUGUGUGUGUGUGUAUACUUGUACUUUUGCACAGUACUGUAUGUCAGUCUGAGAUUCAAACAGUAAGCUUUGCUAGACAGUGAUGCACACUUUAAUUCAGAAAUGAUAAAGGAAUGAGAACCACAGAUUCUCAAAGUCGCCUUCUCCUUAAGUGACUGUAGGCAGUGAGUUUGUCUCCUUGGACUGACACUGACCCACUGAACUGUCCAAAUAAAAUACCUGGUAAUGUUUUAAAAGAGAACUUCGUUUCACAUCCAGUUCAUUUUUAGCAGAACUGAAGGCAUUUGGCAAGUACUGUAUCCUCUGAUUAUAUUUGCGAUAACAUCUACUUGUGCUGUAACAAAUUUCUAGAUGUGAUAGUUCAUGGCAUUUUGUUUUGGAACAAAAUCUAUAGGUUUAUUGUUUGUAUAAUUAACUGUUGUGAUUGUCAAUUUAAAAGUAAAUAUUGUAUUAAAGGGGACCUUAAUGAUAUCUCUGCUGUAUAUAAAAGGUACUGGAAAUCAUUUAAAGAAUCAGAUAUUUAAGCCUUGCCUCAAGCUACUUUGGAAAAUUUUAAAAAAGGGUUCUUGAAUUAUUUGAAUAAACUAAUUAAUUAUAAAAAUAAACUACGUGCUGUGA